AUUUAGGACGGGAUUUAUAAAAAUCUAAUGCACUGCGUAAUCGGUAGAAAAAAGUGGUUUUAUUAUGGUUAUCCAAAAAAAUAAUAAAACAAAAAUUAGUUUAGUUUUAAAGAAACACCCCUGAUAGCACAUAAAGUUUCAGUUAUGUUGCAGGGAUGUUUCAAUGUCUCAAUUGUAUAUCAUUACAUUUGUAAUGUCUCUGAGACCAUUUUUUUUGAAAUAUCAUAAUUGCGAUAUUUCUGCAAGCAUCUUGAUUAAAAUCUUACAUUUGAAAGGUUUUUGCAAUGUAAUAUUUUGCAACAUUGCAAAUGUAACUUUCAAAGAGAUUUCUGAAAUGUCUCAACUGAUAAAUGCGCGCGCAUAUCAUAUAUUAUUGCAAAAUCAAGCCGUACUGCGCUGCGAUCUACCGCGCGCGUGAUCGAUGCCUAUAACCUAUAACCUUGUAAACGUUGAACUGCGUUGAACAAAUAUAUUUUAUCUGCGUUUUGACGUGCGGCGGGAUUAAGUGUUAAGUGCGUGUGUGCAACCAUUCGAAAUAAGGCAAGACAAAGUCUUUUUGGAUACAAAAGAAUCACGCUCACUGGUACGCGGUCAUAAAAAAAGGUGGAUAUAGGAUUGGCGAAAGAAGAUCCUUCUUAGUGGUGAGACAUUGUUUCAAUGUUAUCUUUUAUUAUUAUUUCCUUUUGCACGAUUCUUAAAUACACAGAAAAAUAUAUUUUAAACAAUUAUUUUAUAGGCGAGGAGCAGUUUUGAGAGCAAAAGCAUAUGUUAUGCGUUUAUGAUUAUGUAUCUAAUCUAAUGUGUCUGUAUGAGUGCCCUGAAUUAAUUGAAGCUUGGGGUAAUGAAUUUGAAGCUUUGUAUACCAGAUAUGAAAAAAAAACAGGUUCUCUCAUCUGUAUUGUACGUCUCGAAGACAAAUUAAAGCCAGAGAGUUGAUGAGGCUUUUCAUUAUUCAAAUACAAUUCAAAACAGGAGUGCCAUAUAUAGUUUUUAAAGAUCAUUGUAAUCGCACAUCAAACCAUCAGAAUCUGAGCACAAAGCUAUAAACGAACUCAACGUCCAAAUUUUUGAGACUUUAUUAUGGCGCUCUAGAAGCAAGUUGCAAAAUAAUUACCGAGAAAGGUCCUUAUGAGUCAUAUGAAGGCAGUCCAGUUAGUAAAGGUGUAUGUAUCUAAGAUAAAUAUUUUUCAAUUAUCUAUUAAUUGUUAGGAAUUAUUUACAUCUGGAACAUGUAAAAUUCUUUUUGUACAUUUUCUAGUACGACAUGUGGAAUGUGAAACCAACAAAUUUAUGGAAUUUUGGAUAUUUUGAAGGUAAAAAUUGCUAAACACGGAGUGCGCAAUUCUUUGUCGGAUAGCUUCAGCUCAUUUUUCUUCAGUUUAUUUUCUCCUGAACUCUAUUGUGAGUACUACAAUGAUCACUUAAAAAAAUUAUCUAUAUUAAAGAACGGAGAGGUAUGCAUAAACUUUUACAUGGUAAAAUAAAUAUUUUUAUAUGAUAAAAAUGGUACCGUUAUUUCUAAUAAGUAUAAUAAUGUACAGUAUAACAAAAUUAUUUUACCAAUUAUGCAAGUUACGUUGGUUUAAAGUUUUGCAAGCGAAUACAAUUUUUUCAAUUUUGGCCCUGCAGUGUGGCUAACUUCCGACUCUCAUUUUAAAAUCAGAUGCCAACAUGUUACACAUCAAUCGCUAAAGUGCGGUCGAAACUAAAAAGGAAGUAUUUGCUUUUAAAACUUUACACUGACAUAACUUGUAUAAUUUGUAAAAUUAUUUUAAUAUAUCGUACAUCAUUAUAUAUUCUCUCUCAUUAGAAAGAAUUCUACAACUUUUAUCAUAUAAAAAUAUUCACUAUACCAUAUAAAUUCCUCAUUAUAAAGUCAGAUGGUGGUCUCGAGCUCUCAAUUUCAAGCUUUCCAAAUGUUUAAGUAACUUUCAUAUUAUAGAAAUAAUAUUGUAAGCAACAAUUUAAAAUUAAAUCGCGCGCCCUCAGUAUAGUGUCUCACAAGGGGUUCUCCUUAGUAACAGCGAGCGGUCCAAGUCGCCAACAGAUGGCGAAUGUGGCGUACGGCAGGAUCGAGGACGAUCGUUCGAUCGCUGUUCUUUUUAAUAAAUAUCUCUCGAGGACGAUCGUGCCGCGUGGCGACUGACGAUUAUUGUUGCAUCAGUAUUAUAUGAAUUAAGACUAAAUAAAUUGUCUUUAUUGUUCUAUACAAAGAGUCGAUUCAAAGGAGAACAAAAAGUUGAGAUUUAUUGAAACCAAAUUUAUUAUAAAUCUAUUGGUAUUAGUAGCGAACAUAUACAGCAUUUUCCAUUUGAUGCGUGCUAGGAAAACUUCUCGGAAAAGUGUCUUUAUUGUUCUAUACAAAGAGUCGAUUCAAAGGAGAACAAAAAGUUGACAUUUAUUGAAACCAAAUUUAUUAUAAAUCUAUUGGUACUAGUAUACAGCAUUUGCCGUUUGUGCGUGCCAGGAAAAUUUCUCGGAAAAGCACGUAGAAAGAUUGAAAAACGUAUGUACUAAAUGAAGAAACAAAACAAAGAAGUUAUCAAUUUGGAACAGAUGGAGGAACUCCGAUAAAAAUUGAUUUUUCAUUGCUGGAAGAAGAAUUUCUGACUUUCUUAACACCUGAAGAGCAGCAGGUUUAGAAAAUAUUCCACAAGGAGGGCUAAAUUUAUACGAACACGCAAGUUCCAGUCAAGAAAAAAUGCUUUCUCUAGAUAAUAUACAGACACAAGAUCCGCAAUCUUAUGAAAAUGAUUAUUUACCACCGUGUAAAAGACUGCAACAAGCAAUGUAAUUUUAAAUAAUUAUAAAGGAUCAGAAAAAACAUCAAUGUCGGCUGAAAUGAUUGAUAUUCAGAAAGAAAAACUACAAUUGAAAAGGAAGAAGUACGUAUUCAAAGGCAAUGUUUGUAAAUGCAACGAUCUGCAUUAACUGAAUUACGACAAAUAAGAAGUGUAAUGGAGGCGUUAAAAUCUUUGCAAAAUGAGUGAUAUAAUAAUUAUAUUGGGUACAUUCAAAAGCGCGAUCGAGAAUUGCUGUUUAGCCGCUCAGUGAAAAACGGUGCUUCUGAAUGUACCUAUUUUCAUUAUAAUUAUACCCAGUCGAUAUUGCCUAAGCAUCUACAUUUCACGCAAAACUACUCAAAAUAUUAAAAAAAGUUAUUUUAAAACAGUUUUUCUACUCUAACAAUUACAGUAUUGAAGUUAGGUAAAAUAUGUACAUAAUCUUUUUUACAGAGCUUAUCACGAG